rnacentral:rRNA from 1 species
GACGAACGCUGGCGGCGUGCCUAAUACAUGCAAGUAGAACGCUAAAGGAGGAGCUUGCUUCUCUGGAUGAGUUGCGAACGGGUGAGUAACGCGUAGGUAACCUGCCUGGUAGCGGGGGAUAACUAUUGGAAACGAUAGCUAAUACCGCAUAAGAGUAGAUGUUGCAUGACAUUUGCUUAAAAGUUGCAAUUGCAUCACUACCAGAUGGACCUGCGUUGUAUUAGCUAGUUGGUGUGGUAACGGCUCACCAAGGCGACGAUACAUACCCGACCGGAGAGGGUGCUAGGCCACACUGGGACGGAGACAAGGCCCAGAGGACUACGGGAGGCAGCAGUAGGGAAUCUUCGGCAAUGGACGGAAGUCUGAGCGAGCAACGCCGAGUGAGUGAAGAACGUUGCCGGGUCGGAAAGCUCGGUUGUAAGAGAAGAAAGAGUGUGAGAGUGGAAAGUUCACACUGUGACGGUAUCUUAUAAGAAAGGGACGGCUAACUACGUG